rnacentral:rRNA from 1 species
UCGAAAGAGAACCGGAACACAGGUGCUGCAUGGCUGUCGUCAGCUCGUGUCGUGAGGAUGUUGGGUUAAGUCCCGCAACGAGCGCAACCCUUGUCAUUAAUUGCCAUCAUUCAUUGGGCACUUUAAUGAGACUGCCGGUGACAAACCGGGAGGAAGGUGGGGAUGACGUCAAGUCCUCAUGGCCCUUAUGGGUAGGGCUUCACACGUAAUACAAUGGUCGGUACAGAGGGUUGCCAACCCGCGAGGGGGAGCCAAUCCCAGAAAGCCGUCCACAGUUCGGAUUGGAGUCUGCAACUCGACUCCAUGAAGCCGGAAUCGCUAGUAAUCGUGGAUCAGCAUGCCCACGGUCGAAUACGUUCCCGGGCCUU